GAUGAACGCUGGCGGCGUGCCUAAUACAUGCAAGUCGAGCGAACGGACGAGAAGCUUGCUUCUCUGAUGUUAGCGGCGGACGGGUGAGUAACACGUGGAUAACCUACCUAUAAGACUGGGAUAACUUCGGGAAACCGGAGCUAAUACCGGAUGAUAUUUUGAACCGCAUGGUUCAAAAGUGAAAGACGGUCUUGCUGUCACUUAUAGAUGGAUCCGCGCUGCAUUAGCUAGUUGGUAAGGUAACGGAUUACCAAGGCAACGAUGCAUAGCCGACCUGAGAGGGGGUUCGGCCCCCUUGGACCUGAGACACGGUCCAGCCUCCUACGGGAGCCAGCAGUAGGGAAUCUUCCGCAAUGGGCGAAAGCCUGACGGAGCACCGCCGCGUGAGUGAUGAAGGUCUUCGGAUCGUAAACCUCUGUUAUUAGGGAAGACCAUAUGUGUAAGUAACUGUGCACAUCUUGACGGUACCUAAUCAGAAAGCCACGGCUAACUACGUG
rnacentral:rRNA from 1 species